GAUGAACGCUGGCGGCGUGCCUAAUACAUGCAAGUCGAGCGAACGGACGAGAAGCUUGCUUCUCUGAUGUUAGCGGCGGACGGGUGAGUAACACGUGGAUAACCUACCUAUAAGACUGGGAUAACUUCGGGAAACCGGAGCUAAUACCGGAUAAUAUUUUGAACCGCAUGGUUCAAAAGUGAAAGACGGUCUUGCUGUCACUUAUAGAUGGAUCCGCGCUGCAUUAGCUAGUUGGUAAGGUAACGGCUUACCAAGGCAACGAUGCAUAGCCGACCUGAGAGGGUGAUCGGCCACACUGGAACUGAGACACGGUCCAGACUCCUACGGGAGGCAGCAGUAGGGAAUCUUCCGCAAUGGGCGAAAGCCUGACGGAGCAACGCCGCGUGAGUGAUGAGGGUCUUCGGAUCGUAAAACUCUGUCAUUAGGGAAGAACAUAUGUGUAAGUAACUGUGCACAUCUUGACGGUACCUAAUCAGAAAGCCACGGCUAACUACGUG
rnacentral:rRNA from 1 species